UGAGGAGGCCAUCCAGCUGUACCAGCUGC
rnacentral:piRNA from 1 species